GCCCACCCCAGGUCCGGCAAGGGGAAAAAAAUCACGAUACGUCGCAACACGUCACGUGACGCAGCGAGUUUGACACUCCUGGUAUAAAGCCUAUGAGGAACUUCUAUAAAUCUGAAAUAAUUAUACAGUAAAAAGUCCAUAAGGGUUUUCCAGAGUACUAAUAAAUGUAUUUAUUGAUCUUCCUGUAAUCAAACACAUUAAUUUUGCCAUCUGCUAUUUCUGUCAUCUACACCAACUAAUCCUGUGAUGUCAUUCUCUGAUACCAUUACAGGCUACCCUUGAAGAGCAUCUGGAAGCUGCAGCUGGGAUAAAAAGCAACAGCACAAGCAGUUAUGGUUAUUGGCAGGAUUGCUUCUUCAUGAUAAUGUCUAUCCAUUCCAUCCCAUUAUCUGGAAGGGAAGGUAUGGUAUCAGUCUUAUCCAUUAAAGAGUGCCACCUAGUGGGAGUUAGGAAGACAAUCUUUUUUGUUGCAGUGCCUUCCUUGUGGACAUCCUCCUCCAGAGAUCAGACUGUCCCUGAUCUUGUUGGCCUUUUGCAGUGCCCUGAA